rnacentral:tRNA from 2 species
GUUUCUGUAGUUGAAUUACAACGAUGAUUUUUCAUGUCAUUGGUCACAGUUGAAUGCUGUGUAGAAAUA